UACGUAGGGGGCAAGCGUUGUCCGGAAUCAUUGGGCGUAAAGAGCGUGUAGGCGGCUCGAUAAGUCUGCUGUGAAAGUCCAGGGCUCAACCCUGGAAGGCCGGUGGAAACUGUCGGGCUAGAGUCCGGAAGAGGCGAGUGGAAUUCCCGGUGUAGCGGUGAAAUGCGUAGAGAUCGGGAAGAACGCCAAGGGCGAAGGCACUCUGCUAGGCCUGAUUUCGCGACUGACACUCAGGGACGAGAGCCAGGGGAGCGAAUGGG
rnacentral:rRNA from 1 species